rnacentral:rRNA from 1 species
UACGAAGGGGGCUAGCGUUGCUCGGAAUCACUGGGCGUAAAGGGUGCGUAGGCGGGUCUUUAAGUCAGGGGUGAAAUCCUGGAGCUCAACUCCAGAACUGCCUUGAUACUGAGGAUCUUGAGUUCGAGAUGAGGUGGAGGUGGAACUGCGAGUGUAGAGGUGAAAUUCGUAGAUAUUCGCAAGAACACCAGUGGCGAAGGCGGCUCACUGGCCCGAGUACUGACGCUGAGGCACGAAAGCGUGGGGAGCAAACAGGG